ensembl:lncRNA
GCUUGAACUGUCUCAUGGAACAAAACAUGAAGUAAGCUUUUAAAAAAACCUGCAGUGUGGACUUUUUAGGUCCUAAAUAUUUCUACCACAAAACAUCUUUCUCCUGUUCCCACAGACAAAAAAACCCAACAUUCACCUGUUUCCAUAAACACAAAACAUCUUUCAAUUGGUCCUAUAGACACAAAACAUCUUUCAAUUGGUCCUAUAGACACAAAACAUCUUUCAGUUGGUCCUAUAGAGACACCAUGUACUGUAUUCACAGACCCCUAGGACAGUUGGCACGCAGUAUCACUUUCUGUGCAAGUACUUUGUCAAAAUGUAGCAGAGAAAAUAUAGCCUUGACGUUUGAUAAAACAAAAUAUAUUUUGUGGUUUUGGAAUAUGUGAAUUUAUCAACACAUUAAAUAACUGACGCAUUCCACAACUCCGUGUACUCAUUCUGUGCUUCAGAAAGUCUCCGGUUAUCAUGACUGGACAUCUUUGGAAAUCUGUUUGAUAAGUCUCAUUGAUGUGGUUCUAUAAGUAAUCAAUUAGUAGUCAUUGCUUCGAAACUAGUCCCUGAAUUAAUAUUAUGAAGUCAUGUUCUCUCUCAGGUCGACCCAGCCCAUAGAGAUGGAUAAGAGGACUCAGUAAUAAUAUUAAGACAUACUCUCUCUCAGGUCGACCCAACCAAUAGAGAUUAUAAGAGGACUCAGCAAUAAUAUGAAGACAUGUUCUUUCUCAAGUCAGCCCAGCCCAUAGAGAAAAGAGGUCUCAUCUGUCCUUUUGAGUCACUAUGACGUGCGCACGCUUGGGCAGUGCCAUUGAGGGAAUCUCUUCUUUGCAACUGACUGAUCCCAGUUGGACAUGCAAGAGCCUUAAGGAGGGAUCAGCCAAUAAAGCUGAAGGUCCCACCCAGUUGACUACGUUCAAAACAGUGGAAGCCCUCUAUGGUGAUGUGUAUGCCAGGAAAUGUAAUUUCUCCUUCAGGUAAGGCUAUAAUAUGGUCCAUCCAUUCUCCUGUAUCUCAGUAGUGUCAGUCUAGGAAGAGGGGUUGUGUUACAUGUUUUAGUUGUGUCUGAGGUUGUGUUACAUGUUUUAGUUGUGUCUGAGGUUGUGUUACAUUUUGUAGUUGUAUCUGAGGUUGUGUUACAUUUUGUAGUUGUAUCUGAGGUCAUGAUACAUAUUCCAUGUAUCAUGACCAUCCAUUCUCCUGUAUCUCAGUAGUGUCAGUCUAGGAAGAGGGGUUGUGUUACAUGUUUUAGUUAUGUCUGAGGUUGUGUUACAUAAUGUAGUUGUAUCUGGGGUUGUGUCACAUAUAGUAGUUGUAUCUGGGGUUGUGUCACAUAUAGUAGUUGUAUCUGGGGUUGUGUUACAUAUUGAAAUUGUAUCAGGGGCUGUGUUACAUAUUGUAGUUUCACACAUUGCUUAUACUGCAUACAAUAUAUACACAAUACAUACCAUCAGACUUCCAUCUGCACUAUCAAUUAGCAGGAAUGCUUGAUUGUGAUCUGUACAUUUCUAAUUUGUACUUGUGUUGACCAUGUUGUUUUAUGUUCUAGCCACAUGAAUUAUCCUAUUAUUUAACUAAACAUACAUUGUUUAGGAGCAGCAACACCUGCAUCUAGUCUGGCAGAAACCAGCGCUGGCUCCUCCAAUCACCUCAGCAAGGUGCAAACAACCUGAAGAUAUACAUAGUACCCUAAUCCCUUCCCAUUGUGCUUCUCACUUCCAUAUGGUGUGGCCCAAAGUCAAUUCCGGUGGCGUGAUCCAAAUUCUAUUUGUGUGGCCUAUUCAAUAGUGUACUCCUAUGCCGCGGUCAAGAGUCUAUUCCUAUACCGCGACCAAUAGUCUACUCCUAUGCCGUGGUCAAGAGUCUAUUCCUAUGCCGCGGUCAAGAGUCUAUUCCUAUGCCGCGGUCAAGAGUCUAUUCCUAUGCCGCGGUCAAGAGUCUAUUCCUAUGCCGCGGUCAAGAGUCUAUUCCUAUGCCGCGGUCAAUAGUCUAUUCGUGUAGCGUGGUCCAUAAUCUAUUCGUGUAGCGUGGUCCAUAAUCUAUUCGUGUAGCGUGGUCCAUAAUCUAUUUGUGUAGCGUGGUCCAUAAUCUAUUUGUGUGCCGUGGUCCAUAAUCUAUUCGUGUGGCGUGGUCCAUAAUGUAUUCAUGUAGCGUGGUCCAUAAUCUAUUUGUGUGCCGUGGUCCAUAAUGUAUUCAUGUGCCGUGGUCCAUAAUCUAUUCAUGUAGCGUGGUCCAUAAUCUAUUCAUGUAGCGUGGUCCAUAAUCUAUUCGUGUAGCGUGGUCCAUAAUCUAUUCGUGUAGCGUGGUCCAUAAUCUAUUCGUGUAGCGUGGUCCAUAAUCUAUUCGUGUAGCGUGGUCCAUAAUCUAUUCGUGUGCCGUAUUUUUGUGUCCUAGUCCAUACUCUUAAUCCUGUGACUGCAUGGACAUUGUAUGGUUUUCAAGCGGUCACAGCUGGAGACAGGUGAUGUAGUGGUCACAGCUGGAGACAGGUGAUGUAGUGGUCACAGCUGGAGACAGGUGAUGUAGUGGUCACAGCUGGAG